GGGGAGAUCGUGUGCUUUGAUUUCCCAUGCUGGGAGAACCUGAGCAGGGUGGGAUCGGUGUUAGAAGGGAAGUGAAUUCAGUGGUGUAAAGACUGAAGUAAUCGUGUGGAGGGUUUGUGUGCAUGCGCGCACAGGCAUGCCUGGAGAGACCUUACAAGGAAGUGAAAAGCCUUGAGAAGAUUGGAUCAUGCAUUAUUUUUACCCUUGCAAAUGGUUCCCAGACGCACGGAGCUCAAGCUGUGAAAAAUACAGAGUGCAAGACCUCGGCGUGCACCGGCUCUUGAAAUGCUGACCGGGAGGCUCAGACUGGACCAUCCAUCUUACGGAUAAAGCCUCUGUGGGGUUCCAGCUCAGGCUGCAUUGCCUCACGGGGCAUUGGCACAAGCACAGCCCCGUUUUUCCUGAACCUCAUCCCCUCUGCGCCGCUCCAGUGGGAAGAGGCACACACCUUGGUUCCUCUGAGAUGAAUUUCAGCUUUCUGCGGAAACCUGGCUUCCUGUCAACUUGGCUUCAUCUGCUUAUUAUAUGUAACACAUAACCUCUUUAAUAUUACACAUGGCAUGUUUAACUGCUUAAUUUACUUUGGGAAAUAUUGCCAAAUGCAGCUAUUCUGUUGACAUAUCAUUUGCAUGAUAAACUAGUGUAUUUUAAGCCACGAAUAGGAUGCAUCUGUGAGCUAUCUGUCUGCACUUCUACAAGCUACAAGAGCUAUCUUCACACCUAUAGUUGGAGAACAUAGCCCCACAUUGUGCCUGGGGAAGGAUUCAUCCUUUCUGCUAGGAAAGCAGAGACUCGUGGCUUGUCUACAGCAGGGAAUCAGACGGCAUAGUUACUCUGAAAUAACUUCCUGUGUAGAUAUUCUCUUUGGACUGAAAAUUACUUUUUUUUUUUUUUUCCUUUAAUUCACUCAGAGCUAUUUUUUUUUUUCAUCCACUAAACUAUUCUUGUUUGGAUACAAUCGGAAAUGACGCUUUUUCCCUAGACAAAAGAGCUAUUCUGGUGUGUCCCCUGCUGUGCGACCAAGACCCCAAAGAGGCUCGUUGUGAGGAUCCUGGUUCUCCCUGGGCAAAGCUUCAUGUGUGCGAGGACAUCGGUGGGUGGAAGCAGCCCAAACCAGCCUGUCCUUGAUUUCACAUCCACCCCUUGACCCCUCUCCAGAUGCCUUUAGCUGGCAUCCCAUACUUGCCUGCAUGUGCAAAAUAUAUUUUUGUACCUUUCAAAUGCAGCAGAGGUUGGGCUGGUGCCCGCCAGCCACUAACAAGCACGUUCUGCUCCCUCGGUGCCCUGCUCUAUGGGGCAGCGUCACCUCCUCGCUCUCCAUCAUAUUAGGCUUGCAGUCACGCAGUGCCCCGUAAAGCUUCAAGGCCUUUGAAAACCGAAGGCUGACAUCUUGAAGUCUAAUUUGACACGUUUCCAACAGGGGAAGCAUUUAUUACAUUAGACAAGUUGAUGCAGCUCUCAGGUUGGGAAUUGCACUUAUUUGCCAUAAUAAUGGUGUAAAGUCCUCUUCCUUUUAUUGUGUUAUCUCUCUUUAAUCAUGCAGAGACGCUCCCCAGUAAUUUUAAUCAAAGGCUCAAGCAUCACUUAUCUGAAGACUAAUGACUCAACUCAAUGAGAGGAGAAACUUUGAAGAGCUCGCAAUUGAGCUGGGAGGAGCGAAAAAGAAGAGUUUAUUUGAAACUUUUUUUCUUUCUUUACGUGUGUCAUUAUUUCACCUGAUUUUAGCUGGAGAGCCUUUGUGUGUGCAGUGAGUGGGGAAGAGCCAUGGCUUGCUGCUUUUUCUGAUCAUGCUGCAUUUAGCAACAUGGAUGAGAGAAUGAGGUAUACUUUCACAAGAAGUCCGUUUCCAUCAGAAAAAGAUGAUUUGGUCAAAAGUGUUCUUUUCUGUAGAGAAAAAUGCCAGAUUUUCUGAAUCUUUUCCCUUGUUUGAUGAGAACAUUUGAAAGAUAUUUGUCUUGGAAUGAAUGCUUUAAUCUUGAAAUGCCGCUUCUAACAAGAAAAGGAAGGCACUUUUUUUUUUUAUAUAUAUAUUUGACUCAAAACAGAAAUUCCAGAAGCCCCAGAAAAUUAUCAUAAAAAAACCAAAGAAGGUAUAAAAGGAUUUGUUCAUGUGAGGUUUAUAAACAAAAACUUUCAAUUUAGUGCUUAUUUCUGAUGUUUUUACUGAGGAAGCUCAUUGUCUAUUUUGGAAUUUGACUGUUCUGCUUUGGAUUUCUUUGUGGGCAAAUCCCACAAAGAAUCUGAGGCAGAGACCAGCUCCUUCGGCACGACACAAAAGCUCUGCUUGGGAUUUGCUGUGGUGUUGGUCUUUGUAGGUCGAGAUUAUCAAAAAUGGGUGCCCAGCUUGCUCGGAAGCGUGCCUCCAGCUGCCAGGGGCUGGGACCUUUCCAGCAAUCAGGCCUUUUUAGGUUGCCUUGGCUACAGCAAGCAGAAGUGAAUCUUCCCAAAUUGCAGUGCUGUUUGAGUGACUUGCCCAUGUAUAAUAGAGGGCUCUGUAAUGGCCAGCAAACAGCAUCGUCCCAGCUUUCUAGCUAGGAAAAGACAUGCAUAGAGUCAGUGCAUUGCUUGAGGAUCUCAAUGUUGGAAGGAAAUCAAAGAUUUUCAGGGCUCUUUGCAAGCCAGUACAGAGAUCCCAAGGCUUGGGGGCCGAUUUGGCCACCUGUCCUGGCAGGACCUCCUGCCUGAGGAGCCUGGAUCUGUCCAGGAAGCUUCUCUGCAAGUCCCUCUUCACUUUCCUGCAGCUCUGCACAACCACAGCACGAGCAGAAGCACUGAAAGAGAGCUUCCUUCAGUGGUGUUGCAGGGUGGAUGAGAGGCAGGAGUGAACAUUCAGCUUUUGGUUCAGCGUUCCCUAAGAGCUGUGUUUUUCAGAGUCACUCUGUUGAGAGAUCUCCUGGGAAAGACCUGGACUGAAAUCCUGUUCAUGGUGGUCAAGACCAAAAGUCCCCAGCCAGGAUGCUGCUGCUGCAAAUUUCAGCUUCUUCCAACAGUUUCUUCCUGUGGGACAAGAACCAGUUUCCCUUGGUGGGAGACCAUGGACUAACAGCUCUUCCUUUUGUCUUCAGGAUCUCGCUUUGGUCCCAGGAACGAAAUAAAAAGGGCGACACUGAACAAGACCCAAUCUCUGAGUAGUUUUACCUAUUUCCACCAUGUGCUUGGUAUACUCAUGUGCAGGCACCCAUAAGUGGCCAUGCUUGCUACCAGUUUAUCACUUCUCCAUUUUGGGCAUGUGGAUUCUGGCAGAGAUGCAGGAUCUGGAGUCAAACCUGGUACUGGCUGAGGAAGGAAUGAACCCCCUUCACCCUCCUCCUCCUUCACCCUCCUCCUCCUGCCCUCUGUGCUUUUUUUUUUUUUUUUUUUUUUUUUUUUUUUUUUCAGAGAGACUAAUAGAAAGAUGUCUAUGGGUAGGGGACCUGCUGAUAGCAGCUUCUAGUGGGGUGCUGCUCGCCAUGCGACGACCUCCUUAGUUUGGUAACCAUGGGCCCAGGAAAAGAGGAAUUCCUUUCAAAGCAAAGACCACUCAAGUCCUACUGUUAAAAUCAACUGAAACUAAAAUGUUAGGUGCUCUGCAAGGGGCUGUGUGUUUGCAGUAACUCCUCUUUCUCUGUGGUUUUGCAGACUCCCCUUGCUGGGCCUCUUUGCAUGCCGCAGUAAGAAGCUCUCUUGCUUUCCAUUUUGGUGCUCCCAACUUUUGCCUGUGGGUUCCCAUCUUCCUCUCCAGGAGCCGUUUAGAAGUGAUUUAUGGCUGCUGGCAUGUCAGAACCAGUGGGAGCUCCUAGGAUGGAAACGGCUGCCUGAUUUGCCAUGCUGAUAAGUACAAGCCAAACACACCCAGCAAUGCCAGAUGGCGGCGGCGUUAUCUGUCACAGAGCAUCUCAGAGCAGACGGAUGUUAUACAAACAUUUCACAACUGUGGUAUUAUUAUUGGUGCAAUUACUAUUAAUGCUAUUUAUAAGUGUUAAAUUAACAUAAAUAUAGCACUGUAAUAAUGAA